CAUCAUGGCCCUUACGACCAGGGCUACACACGUGCUACAACGGCGCAUACAAAGAGAAGCGACCUCGCGAGAGCAAGCCGACCUCAUAAAGUGCGUCGUAGUCCGGAUUGGAGUCUGCAACUCGACUCCAUGAAGUCGGAAUCGCUAGUAAUCGUGGAUCAGAAUGCCACGGUGAAUACGUUCCCGGGGCUUGUACACACCGCCCGUCACACCAUGGGAGUGAGUUGCAAAAGAAGUAGGUAGCUUAACCU
rnacentral:rRNA from 1 species